rnacentral:lncRNA from 10 species
AUUCCUUAUCUGAUCUUGAAAACUUACAAUGAUUAAAGAAUCUCGAUCUUUGAAAAAAUUCCGAUUUCCUGUGUGCUGGCUUUAUCAACAAAGAGGUUCUCACCAGACAGCAGUCCCUGACAUUCUACAUCUCUACAAGCUUCAUGGAAAGAAUGCUCCAUCUUCUAAAUAAAUCCGGUAAAAUUCUGAAGAUUGAUAAACCUGUCAUCAGCCAUUUGUUGAUCCCUAAAUCAUUUACUGUGGGCAGGGUAUGUGGUGUUCUGAUUGUGCGUGUAUUCAUUCAGCUUAAAUUCACAGAUGGAAUGUGGCACUGAAUUUUCUUCUCGAGGGAAAUUGAGAAUCUAUUAUUUAAAAAAUAGGAAAUAAG